AUUAUGUUGACACUUCAGCUCCUUAUUGAUUCUCUACAAUAUACCAAAAUAAUUUAUUAUAAAUCGAAAAGAGAACCAAAGAAAAUUGGGUUAAAGUGUGGUAUUAAGUUUACUUAUGUAGUUGUUCAUAACUCAUUGGAGUAAAUCUCCUCAGGGUUUGUCCCCCUUGAUUACACAAUAGUUGGUAUCAAAGUUGAAUGAUCUUGUGGCCCAGUGUUUACCCCCCUCGGUUACAAGUCUUCUUGGCGGUGGGUCCUGAUGGCAUGUCUUGUGGGUGGAGCAGGGGUACAAGUAUCUAGAAUAUGUGGGCUCUAAUGACCACCAUGGAAUACUCAUGGAUGAUAAUGGUUAUCACUCGGGGGGAGGAGGAGACUACCAUGUGAAAGAAACUCACACUUAAGGAAGAGAUUGUUGGACUACAAGUGUGAGGUGAAGUCUCACAUCGUAUAGGAAUGAGAAGGUUGAAUACCAUAUAAGUGAAAGUAAUACCUAUAAACCUGAGUCUUAAGGUUGUAGGUUAAAGUGUGGUAUCAAGUUCACUUAUGUGGUUAUUCAUGACUCAUUGGUGUAAAUCUCUCCAGUGUUUAUCUCCCUCGGUUGCACAACAAAUUUCUUCUCUUAGACAAGGAAGCUUUUGGAAAAGAAUGUUAGGAAUGUGCCAAUAAGUAAACUUCUAUCCCCAUUACCAAUUUUCCAAGAUUUAAUGCCACUCCAAAUGAAGGAACUAAUGUUAUAAAGCAUAUGUUUGGAAUUACGAAACACCCUAGCCCUCAAACAACAAAACCCAAUCCUAUUGAGUUCCAACCCAACUUAAGAAGAGAAGCAUCAUUAAUUACUUAGGGAACAAAACCCCAAACCACCUUCAGGACUACAAAUCGUAUGCCAUGGAAUUGUAACUAUUUUUUUGGUAUCAACAUCCCCAGACGAUAUGAAGUUCCUCAUCCUCUCAAUAGACUUCAUCAAAGAAAUAGGCCAAGAGUAAAUAAGCAUACUAUAAAGGACACUCUACACCAAAAGCAUUUUUCCCAUAAUAGAGAGAUGAACCUUUUUUCAUCUGGCCAUUUUCAGACGAAUUUUGUGAUCAGCAAUGGGUUGCAAAUGAAUAACUCUUGGUUUCCCCUUAAAUAAGGGAAUACCCAAGUAAGUGAAAGGAGUAGCUCCUGAAGAGAAACCACGAAUAUCAGCAAUGAGGCUCUUCAUGUGUUCUGAAAUCCCACCAGUGUAGCAUUUGGAUUUAGCAAGAUUAACAAGCUGGCUGGAUUCCUGACCAAAAAAAGAAAUAAACUUUUUAAGAUUCUGAAAUUUUCAAGGGAUCCCCUGCAGAAAAUUAAAACAUCAUUGGCAUAAAGCGCAUGGGAGGGCAUGGAAAAGUUUCUUGGGCCAUCCAUUAAAUAAAGAUUACCAUAAUUCACCAAUUUACUAAUCCCCCUCCUUAAAAAUUCUUGCCUAACUCCUUUUUUGCAAUUGAAGAAGCCAACAACCUUACCAUUCACUAGAAUAGACAACUUAGUCGAAUGUAGAAGAACACUAAUCCAAUCACAGAACUUGGCAUGAAAUCCAAACUGGCUAAGAACCUUGAGAAGAAACUUCCAGUCAAGCAUAUCAAACACUUUUUUGAUAUCCACCUUAAUAGCCAUGUUGCUUGCAAAAGUUUUCUUGUCUAACAAAUGAAUGGAUUUUAACAAACGAAUUUCGAAUGAAAUUGACUUUUUUACUGUCCCUUUUCAAGCUAUCCUCGUGUUAUUCCUUUAAAACGAUACUGUUUUCAUGAUUUUCAUGGAGUGAGUUCACAAUUAAAUAUUAACACAAUUUGAUUUCUUUUUUGUUUUGAAUGAACAAUACAGGAACAAUAGAUAGCCAAAUCCAUUUCGAAUAAACUUUUCAACGAAUUUCUAUAAACAUAAAUGGUCAUUUAUGGCAACAUUUGUCAAGAGUACGGUCACAUUCAAUUUCUUGUUUAAAUAACUGAGAUUUUCUAUAUGUGUGUUGUCGACAUGAAAGAAAAUUAAUACUCCAUAUUUUAGUGGCCUCGUAACAAAAUUAUCAAGUAAUGUAAUGAGCCUAAGUACAGAUAAAUAGAAUAUAUUUAAUCACCUUAAAAAACUGUUUUCAGAGCUCCAACCUAGAGCCCUGCUGAUACCUUCUUCACUAUGCAGGAACUAUGAGCAACAAUGACCUUUCACAGAUUCCCUCAAGUCCAUAUUACAUCCACCCUAGUGAGAGUCCUUCAUCCAUUAUUGUUACACCAUCUUUGACUAGAAAUAAUUACCAAUCUUGGUCAUGAUCAGUUAAAAUGAUCCUUAUUCAAAGAACAAAAUGGGUUACCUUACCAGCGCUAUAUCGAUUCCAACUUCCACAGAUCCUUCACACCCCUUGUAGGAACGUUGCAAUACCUAAAUCAUGUCCUAGAUCUUAAAUUUCCAGUCACCAUCCAUUGCUCAAAUUGUUAUAUAUUUUGACCAUGCUACAAACAUUUGGAAUGAUUUGAAGGAGUGUUUUUCACAAGGGGAUUUAUUGCAAAUUGCAGAGCUUCAAAGAAGAGAUAUACAGACUCAAGCAAGGGGUCGCACACAGUUUUGGAUUUUUUCACUAAAGCUCAAAUUUGUUNNNNNNNNNNNNNNNNNNNNNNNNNNNNNNNNNNNNNNNNNNNNNNNNNNNNNNNNNNNNNNNNNNNNNNNNNNNNNNNNNNNNNNNNNNNNNNNNNNNNUGAACCCUUGCACUUGUCCGAGCAGAACUUACCAUCAACAGGAUUUUGUCAUUCACUUUCUCAAAGGGCUGGAUGAACGAUUUUCUGUUGUGUGCUCUGAAGUCCUGCUUAUGGAUCAUUUACCAUCAACCAAGAGAAUCUUUUCCAUGGUGAUUCAACACGAAACUCAACAUGCUAGCCACACCUCUGCAGAAGACCAGAAUAGAUUCAUCAAUGUUGCUGAAAAACGAUCCUUCUUUAAAAGUUGUGGGAACCCUU
rnacentral:lncRNA from 1 species